rnacentral:rRNA from 1 species
UACGUAGGUGGCGAGCGUUGUCCGGAAUUACUGGGCGUAAAGGGUGCGUAGGCGGACUAUUAAGUCAGAUGUGAAAUUCCAGGGCUUAACCCUGGAACUGCAUUUGAAACUGGUAGUCUGGAGUGCAGGAGAGGAAAGCGGAAUUCCUAGUGUAGCGGUGAAAUGCGUAGAUAUUAGGAAGAACACCAGUGGCGAAGGCGGCUUUCUGGACUGUAACUGACGCUGAGGCACGAAAGCGUGGGGAGCAAACAGG